rnacentral:rRNA from 1 species
GACGAACGCUGGCGGCGCGCUUAACACAUGCCAGUCGAACGGAAAGGCCUGCUUUCCCUUGUGGAUUGCGGGUACUCGAGUGGCGAACGGGUGAGUAACACGUGAGUGAUCUGCCCCCAACUUGGGUAUAAGCCUGGGAAACUGGGUCUAAUUCCCGAUAGGACUGCAGGGUGGUGCCUGUGGUGGAAAACGAUUUUCUAGUGGUUGGGGAUGAGCUCGCGGCCUAUCAGCUUGUUGGUGGGGUAAUGGCCUACCAAGGCGGCGACGGGUAGCCGGCCUGGGAGUGUGGACGGCCACAUUGGGACUGAGACACGGCCCAGACUCCUACGGGAGGCAGCAGUGGGGAAUAUUGCACGAUGGGCGGAAGCCUGAUGCAGCGACGCCGCGUGGGGGAUGACGGCCUUCGGGUUGUAAACUCCUUUCGACCGCGAGGAAGCCACCUGGUUGGAAGGGUGGUGACGGUAGUGGUAGAAGAAGCACCGGCUAACUACGUG